CAAAUGACCAAGAAAUAAAAACAACAAAAAAAGUAUGUGUCCUUGGGUAAGAAAGAGAUGUUAGGCAAUGCUAUGAAGACCACCAAAGCAGAGUACAAAAGUAUAGAAUGACAGAAUCCCUGUUUGAGGAAUAUGCUGAACUGUGCAAGAAUGAAAUGAGGGACCCAGCUACACAAAGAUCUGGAGGAAGAGCAUGGCAGUAAUGAUGCACUAAGCAGCAAGUACAAAGGCCCUGUGGCAGGAUUAAUCUUCUUGGCAAAGAAGAGACAUCCUUUCUUCUGUGGAUACAGGAUUCUUGGAUCUGUAUUCCAUAAAGACCAAGGCCUACUCUUCAUUUCCAGGAAAGUCAGUGUGCAGAGAAGGAGGGACAGCCGUGUCCACCUGCACACAGGUCUCCAAGGGAGCUGCGGUAUAUGGGUUGUACACCCAAGAUAAUAUAUGUCUUUCACCUCUUUUCAUAAUAAAUGUAAUAUUAAAACAAGACAGGAUUUAUAUAAAUAAAUAGAUAUUUGCCCA